rnacentral:rRNA from 1 species
UACGUAGGCAGCAAGCGUUGUUCGGAGUUACUGGGCGUAAAGGGUGUGUAGGCGGUUGUUUAAGUUUGGUGUGAAAUCUCCCGGCUCAACUGGGAGGGUGCGCCGAAUACUGAAUGACUUCGAGUGCGGGAGAGGAGAGUGGAAUUCCUGGUGUAGCGGUGAAAUGCGUAGAUAUCAGGAGGAACACCGGUGGCGAAGGCGGGUCUCUGGGCCGUAACUGACGCUGAGGAGCGAAAGCGUGGGGAGCGAACAGG